CGGGGAGGGGCGGGGUGGGCGGAGCCAGCUGGGUCCCGGGACCCCGACUAGGGUUGACCCGGGUUUCGGUGCAGGGUGUGAAGCACUCGGCGGCUCAGGGCUCGAGACCGUCCGACGUGGGCACAGCUCCCCGCCCGGCCCGGACGCACGAAGCCCCCGCCGCCGGCGUCCAGGCUCCACGCCCGCGCGUCCAGAGACCGGGAGCGACGCGUGCCGCGCAGACGUUCCCUUCUGAAGUCGCCUGUUUCUCCUCUACGGUUCUUCAGGUUACAGUGUUUACGUUUAUUUACACUGAAAAGCGGUCUAAGUGGGUGAAGGGUUUAAUCCGUUAUGGUAAAUCGUACCUUCCUGGAGUUCCUUAAGCAGCGGGGCGAGCAGGACACGCACAUACUGUGGUGUAUGAUAGGUCCUGAGAGGUGCCGAGCACUGCUAAAGUGACUUGUGUUUUUGGCGUUGAGUUACCAAACGCUAUAUUCGGGUUCUGUAUUUCUUGAAUCUGAACUUUGGGGGGGGGGGAGUUAUACUGUACGUGAGUUGAACCCAGGAUCUUCCCAUUGAGCUACACCUCAGCCAGUUAGAAACAGGAUUUCACUAAAUUGCUACGGCUAGGCUUGAACUUGUGAUCUUCCUUCCGCAGCCAGAUACAAUUCUUUUGUAGACAACAAAGAGACAAAAGACAAGGACCAAAAAGAACAACACCUUGCUGUCCUUUAAAGAGGUUCCCCCUUGAUGGGCCCAGUGCUUGGUCUGUCGCUCGGUCUGUCACGGCUGAUCCCUCCCCUAAAAUGAGAAUGCACCUCUAAAGACCUGGGAAUUCCUUCUUGACUUACUCUCCGCCCCACUUCCUGAUGGGUUCAGGACUGGCAAUAGUGUGUACCCUUUGUGGAUAGACUGCCUCCUCUACAUCAUCUGAAUUGCUUUGUUGUUGUUAUUAACAACAGUUACUAUUACUGUGUGUGUGUGUGUGUGUGUGUGUGUGUGUGUGUUUCACACAGUGUCAGUAUCUCAUGUAGUUCAGAUUGCCCUCAAACUCACGAGAUCCUUCCGCAUCAGUCUCCUGAGUGUUGGGGUUAGAGACCUGCACCACUACACCCUGCAGUUAUAAGCAAUGUGAAGACCAUGUUAGUAGUACCUUAAGCCUGGUAGUUAUAUUAGCAGAGGGUUUUGGGGUUUUGUUUGUUUUUCUUGUAUAUGUGUUAAGAUCAACGACUUCAGUGAAAGAAAUUAGCAGGUUUAGUAAAAGUUCUUUGUUGGUACUUUUUCAGUGGUUGAAUUCCUCCUGAGAUAAGUUGGUUUCUCAGUGGUGGCAGGCAUCCUCUUUAGAAUAUCCUGCUGGAA
rnacentral:lncRNA from 1 species